AUGGGAAAAUCAAAAGAAAUCAGCCAAGACCUCAGAAAAAGAAUUGUAGACCUCCACAAGUCUAGUUCAUCCUUGGGAGUAAUUUACAAACGCCUGAAGAUACCACGUUCAUCUGUACAAACAAUAGAACGCAAGUAUAAAACAUGGCACCAGGCCCCAGCCAGCAAGCCUCUGUCUGGUGAAGGGGAACCCAAGGCUGGCCCAGUAGAUACAGUACUACACCAGAGAAUUUUCAUCCUCUGAUGCAAGCAAUGUGGGUGGUCCAAUGCGACAACCAUGGGUCACCCGGCCACUCAGCCUUUCCACCAGAGUCUGCCGAGGUACACCAUGCACCUUGGUAGAUGAGAAAGUAAAACUGUUAUUAGCAGAUAAAAUUCACAUACACCUGGUAAUCUCCUAAAGUACAAAAGAUGCCUAACCUUGGCAGCCUGGCGGAUAGCCAUCCCUGCACCGCAGUCCUUCAUGGUAUGGAACAUAUCCAUCUCAUUCCUCUGCUUCCUCUUGACUUUCUCCAUGCUGUGGUGGGAAAUACAUGUAGCUAAAUAACUUGGAGUACUAUAGACAUGUUAGAAAGAUAACUAUCUGAAUAUGUAUAAAUAUUUACAAUUCAAAGCUAAGGCAUUGAAAGGUGAUGAUGAAAGGUUUCAUAAUAACUGAAAGUGAACCCACGUUUCUUUUAUGUUAUCUGUAAUGAAAAUUAGUGUCCCAAUUAGUUUAAUAUUGAUGCAUACAUUGUAACAUUUGACAAAGUACUGCCUCUAUGUAGCUGUUGUAAGAUGAAACAUAGCCAAUACCCUAUAAUAACUACAAUGUUCUGCAGUUGGGCUGCAGUUAUACUGAACUCUAACUGCAGUUACACCACAAAAUGACUACAGUAAAAAUACGGUGUAAUUUUGGGUUCAGUAUUUGCAGCAUACUGCAGUUAUACUGAAUUGUACUGCAGUUAGACUGCACUCUGACUGCAAUCCUUUUUAAUAAGGGGAGUGAUAGAUGUAAAAAAUACAAUUUUGCAGAUUGCGCAAAACACCCCCGUCAGUCAGAUGACUCCAAUUUUGAUACGGUAAAGCUUGACGACAUUCAUCUGUUUUCGUAUAAUCUUACAAUUUCUUUCCUUUUUGGUUACUAAGCAGUUCAAUCAACAUUUAGAAACUAAGCUAGCAACAUUAGCAAAUCCGUUAGCUAUAAUUCAUAGGUUAAAAACUGCACUUACAGACCACACAUAUUAAAUUGUAUGGUCUGUAAGUGCAGUCAAAUUUGACAAUAUACAGUUUGUCCCACAAAACCACUAUAUAAGUAACUUUUUUGAAAACUCUCAUAAUCUAACGUAACUGACAAAUGGUAAUGACAAUUGGUGGUCAGCUAGCUAAAGGGUGUAUUUAGUUGCAAAACUUACCGUUAUUUUCCAGUUUUGAGUUUGAGGCGAUUUAGUCCUAUAACCACUAGAGAGUGUCUGAAGAAAGGGGGUGCCCUAUGUUGGGUGGGAAAUAGCUACUGUAACUUAACGUUUGUGUGCAGGCUAACUCAAAUGAACAUCCAACUUAAUCUUAGUUACAGUUAAAGUCGGAGGUUUACAUACACCUUAACCAAAUACAUUUAAACUCAGUUUUUCACAAUUCCUGACAUUAAAUCCUAAUAAAAACUCCCUGUCUUAGGUCAGUUAGGAUCACCACUUUAUUUUAAGAAUGUGAAAUGAAUGUGAAUAAUAGUGGAGAGAAUUAUUUAUUUCAGCUUUUAUUUCUUUCAUCACAUUCCCAGUGGGUCCGAAGUUUACAUACACUCAAUUAGUAUUUGGUAGCAUUGCCUUCAAAUUGUUUCACUUGGGUCAAACAUUUCAGGUAGAAUUUCACAAGCUUUCCUCAAUAAGUUGGGUGAAUUUUGGCCCAUUCUUCCU
rnacentral:lncRNA from 13 species